rnacentral:rRNA from 1 species
AGGCAGCUACCCAUGGCAGUCCGAGCGGAACGAGUUCUCUGAACCUUUCGGGGGACGAUAACGGCGUCGUAGCGGCGGACGGGUGAGUAAUGCCUAGGAAAUUCGCCCUGAUGUGGGGGAUAACCAUUGGAAACGAUGGCUAAUACCGCAUAAUGCCUACGGGCCAAAGAGGGGGACCUUCGGGCCUCUCGCGUCAGGAUAUGCCUAGGUGGGAUUAGCUAGUUGGUGAGGUAAUGGCUCACCAAGGCGACGAUCCCUAGCUGGUCUGAGAGGAUGAUCAGCCACACUGGAACUGAGACACGGUCCAGACUCCUACGGGAGGCAGCAGUGGGGAAUAUUGCACAAUGGGCGCAAGCCUGAUGCAGCCAUGCGCGCGUGUGUGAAGAAGGCCUUCCGGUUGUAAAGCACUUUCAGUCGUGAGGAAGGUGGUGUAGUUAAUAGCUGCAUUAUUUGACGUUAGCGACAGAAAAAACACCGGCUAAAUUUCCCUGGCAACAGCCGCGGUAAUAACGAAGGGUGGGGAGCGUUAAAUCGGAAUUUAUUGUGGCGUAAAACGCAUGGGGGGUGGGUUUUUUAAAUCAAAUAGUGAAAAAUCGGGGGUUAAAAUCGGAAAAACAUUUUUUAACUGGCAGACUAGAAUACCGUAGAGGCGGGGAGAAAUUUCUCAGGUCUAACCGGGAAAUGCGGUAGAGAGUCUGGAAAAAAAAAAGGUGGUCGAACGGCUGUGCCCCCCCGACAGAUACUGACACUAAGAUACAAAAACGGGCGGGGGGAGCAAACCAGGAUUCACAUACACUGGUAGUCUUUUCACACCCCUAAACGAAUGUCUACCUCUGGAGGUUGAGAGUCUCCCCACCCCCCGUGGCUUUUCGGAGACUAACGCGGCGGGUAUAGUAGACACGCACUGAGGAUGUACGCCCGCAAGAUUAAAACUCAAAUGAAUUGACGGGGGGCCCGCACAAGCGGUGGAGCAUGUGGUUUAAUUCGAUGCAACGCGAAGAACCUUACCUACUCUUGACAUCCAGAGAACUUUUCAGAGAUGGAUUGGUGCCUUCGGGAACUCUGAGACAGGUGCUGCAUGGCUGUCGUCAGCUCGUGUUGUGAAAUGUUGGGUUAAGUCCCGCAACGAGCGCAACCCUUAUCCUUGUUUGCCAGCGAGUAAUGUCGGGAACUCCAGGGAGACUGCCGGUGAUAAACCGGAGGAAGGUGGGGACGACGUCAAGUCAUCAUGGCCCUUACGAGUAGGGCUACACACGUGCUACAAUGGCGCAUACAGAGGGCAGCAAGCUAGCGAUAGUGAGCGAAUCCCAAAAAGUGCGUCGUAGUCCGGAUUGGAGUCUGCAACUCGACUCCAUGAAGUCGGAAUCGCUAGUAAUCGUGGAUCAGAAUGCCACGGUGAAUACGUUCCCGGGCCUUGUACACACCGCCCGUCACACCAUGGGAGUGGGCUGCAAAAGAAGUAGGUAGUUAACCUUCGGGAGGACGCUUACCACUUUGUGUGAG